rnacentral:rRNA from 1 species
UACAGAGGUCUCAAGCGUUGUUCGGAUUCAUUGGGCGUAAAGGGUGCGUAGGCGGGUCUUUAAGUCAGGGGUGAAAUCCUGGAGCUCAACUCCAGAACUGCCUUUGAUACUGAAGAUCUUGAGUUCGGGAGAGGUGAGUGGAACUGCGAGUGUAGAGGUGAAAUUCGUAGAUAUUCGCAAGAACACCAGUGGCGAAGGCGGCUAUCUGGGCUGAAACUGACGCUGAGGCGCGAAGGCUAGGGGAGCAAACAGG